ACCAGUGAGUGGCAGGAGUCGGGUGUGAGACGUAGGGGGACGUGGGGGUCCGGGUGUAGUGGGCGUAAAGGGAGCGUGGUUGGUUCGGUAAGGGGGGUGUGGAAGCGUCAGGGUCAACAUGGAGACGCCGCCCGGUAGUGCCGUGACGAGAGUCCAGUAGGGGAGCGUGGAAGUCCUGGUGUAGCGGUGAAAUGCGGAGAGAUCAGGAGGAACACCAGCGGCGAAGGCGGCGCUCUGGGCUGGCACUGACACUGAGGAGCGAAAGCGUGGGGAGCGAACAGGAUUAGAUACCCCGGUAGUG
rnacentral:rRNA from 1 species